UACGGGGGGGGCAAGCGUUGUUCGGAAUUACUGGGCGUAAAGGGUGCGUAGGCGGCUCUCUAAGUCGGAUGUGAAAACUCUGGGCUCAACCCAGAGCCUGCAUCCGAAACUGGAGGGCUAGGGUUUUGGAGGGGAAAGCGGAAUUCCAGGUGUAGCGGUGAAAUGCGUAGAUAUCUGGAGGAACACCGGUGGCGAAGGCGGCUUUCUGGACAAAUACCGACGCUGAGGCACGAAAGCUAGGGGAGCAAACAGG
rnacentral:rRNA from 1 species